AAACAUUCAUUCAAAAUUCAACUACCAUCUACAAAUUAAGUUAUACAGUCACUGAGAAAAUGUCUAUAAAUCAAAAGCCUCUGCAAUCACAUUGGAUAUUUGUGGGCCUAUUAAAUAGAGACACAGUCAGGCUUUGAGGAUACAAUGAUGAGCAAAACAAACAUAGAUGCUGUUCUUAUGCAUACAAGAAAAUCUCCAUAUUGCACUCAAGAUGUAUGGAAUGGAAAAGUAGAUUUACACAGAGUUUUGGUAGCCAUUAUAAAUAUUAGAGCCAUGGGCAUGUAUUAUGAGAGGUCUGAGCAGGGAAAGAAGCUAGGCUGAAAAUCACAUUCUGGAUUUUUUAAAAUCUUCCUUUCUUCUCUCUCUCUCUCUCUCUCUCUCUUUCUCAAGUAGAGCAAUUUUAGGUUCACAACAAAAUUAAGAGGAAGAUAGAGAGAUAUCCCAAAUACACCUUGUCCCUAGACAUGCAUAAAUUCCUCCACUAUCAACAUCCCUGACCAGAAUGUUACAUUUGUUACAACUGAUAAACCAUACAUUGAUUCAUCCUAAAUCCAUAGUUUACAUUAUGGUUCAUUCCUGGUGUUGUUAAUUCUAUGGGAUUGGACAAAUGUAUAAUGACAUGUAUUCAUCACUAUAGUAUCAUACACAGUAUUUUCAGUGCCUUAAAAAUUCUCUGUGUUCCACUUAUUCAUUAUUCCCUCACUAUUGCCACCAUCCCCAACCUUUGGUAACCACUGAACUUUUUACCGUGUUUAUAGUUUUGAUUUUUCUAGAAAGUCAUACAGUCAGAAUCAUACAGUAUAUAUAGCCUUCUCAUAUUGGCUUCUUUCACUUAGUAAUAUGUAUUUAAGGCUCCUCCUGUCUUUCAUGGCUUGAUAGUUCCUUUCUUUUUAGUGCUGAGUAUCAUUCAACUGCCUAGAUGCAAGUUUAUCCAUUCACCAGCUAAGGGACUUGGUUUCCUCCAAGUCUUGGCAUUUAUGAAUAAAACUGCUAUAAAAAUCAUGUUCAGUUUUUGUGUGGGCUCAUGUUUUCCACCUCUUUGGAUAAAUACCAAGGAGCAUGUUUAGAUUUGUAAGAAACCCAUCAACCCACAGUUGUUUUCCAAAGUGGCUGAACCAUUUUUUCUGGGCUUUCUAUACUGUUCAUUCUACUAGUGUAUCCUUUUGCCAGUACCAACACUGCCUUAUUUACUGUAGCUUUAUACUAAGUCUUGAAAUUGGGUACUGUCAGUUUCCCAACUCUAUUCCUCACCUUAAAUAUUGUGUUGGUUAUCCUGAAUCUUUUGCCUCUCAAUAUAAAAUUUACAAUCAUUUUGUUGGUAUUGACAAAAAAAACUACCAAAAUUUUGAUUGGGAUUUCAAUGAAUCUAUAGAUCAAGUUAUGAACAACUGACAUUUUGAGGAUAUUGAGUUUUCCUAUCCAUGAGCAUGGAAUAUCUCUCUACUUACUUAGUUUUUUUUUUUUAAUUUCUUUCAUCAGAGUUUAUAGUUUUUCUCAUAUAUAUUAUAUAGAGAAAUACUUAGAUAUAUAUAUAUAGUUAGAUUUAUAUCUAAGUAUUUCUCUUGUUUUGGAUGCUGAUAUAAAUGGUAUUGCUUUUAAUUUCAAAUUCCAUUUGCUUAUUGUGGGUAUACAAGAAAAUGACUUUUUAAAUACUUUUUUACUUAUCUUUUUUUAGUAAUUUCUAUACUCAAUGUGAGACUCAAACUUACAACCCAGAAAUCCAGAGCUGCAUGCUCUUCCAAUUGACCCAGCCAAGUAGCCCAAAUGAUUGACUUUUGUAUAUAUAUUAACCUGUAUCCUGCAAUCUUGCAAUAGUCACUUAUUAGUUCUAGACUUUUUUGGUCAAUUCCUUCAGAUUUUCUAUAUAGGUAAUCAUGUCAUCUGUGAACAAAGACACUUCAUUUCUUGCUUCCCAAUUGUUGUAACUUUUCUUUCCUUUUAUUGUCCAGUUGCUUUAGCUAGGACUUCCAUGAUGUUGAGAAGGAGUGGUAAGAGGUCAUCCUUGCCUUUUUCCUGAUCUUAGCAGGAAAGUUUUCUCUUUAUUGUGAUGUUAGCUAUAGGGUUUUUUGCAGACAAACUUUAUCAAGCUGAGGAAAUUUCUCUGUAUGCCUAGUUACUUAGAGUUUAUCAUGAAGUUUUCAACAUCAGGUUUUGUCAAAUAUAUUUUCUGCCUCUAUUGAUAAUAAGUAUGCAAUUAUUUUUUUUGGUCUGUUGAUGUGACAGAUUGCAUAAGUUGAUUUUCAAAUGUUGAUACAGAUUUGCAUAUUUGGAAUAAAUCCCACUUGGUAUAAUUUUUUUAUACAUUGUUGCAUUAUUUUUGCUAAUGUUUUGUGUUAGACUGUUGUACCUAAGUUCAUGAGAAAUAAUGAUCUAUAGUUUUCUUAUCUUGUAAUGUCAUUGUCUGGUUUUGGUAUUAGGGUAAUGCUGGUCUCACAGGAUGAGUUAGGAAGUAUUCCCUCUGUUUCUAUCCUCUGAAAGAGAGAAUUGGUAUAAUUUCUUCCCUAAAUGUUUGGUGAAAUCCACUAUUAAACACCUGGGUCAAAAAAAAAAAAAAACAAAAA
rnacentral:lncRNA from 1 species